rnacentral:lncRNA from 1 species
GUAGAACCAUUAUUUGGGGGGCUUGGCUUCCGGAAAACUCAAACCACGUCACAUUAGAAAAGGUCAGGAGGCAUUUCCACAGGGAUGCAGACCUGACAUUUUUUCUCAUGUUCUCAACCUUUCAUCUGGAGCAGAGACCACCCCCUCCCUGCUGACCCAAUGCAUCCACCAGAGGCAUCCCUGGCCACCUAGUUCCCUGGACCAAGAUGAGGCCUUGCUAUGUCCCAGGCCCUGCUGGGAUCCCCCUCCACCUCCUGAUGCUGCUGAUAGCCACAAAGGGAAGCAGAGAAGUGAACCCCAGUGGCCACCACACUGCAAGCAUCAGGAAACAUUUACUGCCUAGAAGGAUGACCUCUGGACUCAGAAUCCAAAGGAUAAUGAAUGCAGACAGGGAGGAGCAAUAAAUCAUUUAUGAAUUGCCGACAGAACCUUUUAUGCUUGAAGGAAACAUGGCUGUGUGUGAUUCAGGGAAAGCUGAACUUGGCAUCUUCUCCUAAACCCACUCUGAUGUGUUCAACGUCGCCUCCUUCGUUGCUCAGAUGGGAAAACCAGGUGAUUCAGUUUCUCCACUGGAAAAAGUCCUCCAUGCCCCUCUCUCCAUUCUCUAUACAGUGUGAGUAUAGCCUCAGUUGCAUUAUAUAAUGGCUGCUAGUGUUCUGGACCUAGGUGAGUAUGGUGCACUAAAGAAGGUCAUUGAGUUUUUUUUUCCAUUUUUCUCUCAGAAAGUGAUAUUUUUUCCCCUUAAAUCUGAAUUGGCUUUGUGACUACUUUAACCAGUAAAAUAUAGUGGAAAUGAUGCUGUGACAAUUCUAAGGUUAGCCUUCAGAAGGCUUGGAUGUGUCCACUUUUGUACUCUUAGGAGCCCUGAGAUACCAUGUAAUAAGGCUAGCUAUCUUGCUGGGGAGGCCGUGAAGAAAGGCCACAAUCAGAGGACAAGCAUAGAGAAGGCGGCCCUGAAACACGGGUAAAGAGAGGCCCCAACAUCCCAGCAGCCCAGCUUAUCCCAGCCUUCUAGCAUGAACAACCAAGGCACCAGAUAGGUGAGUGAGCCAUUUUGGAUGUUGCAG